UUUAAAUUAAUUGUACGUACCUUUUCUCUGGUUUAAAGAAAGAAUUUAACAAGAGAGAUUUGAAAUGAAGCCAUAGAAUCCUGCACAUUAAAAGUAUCAAGGUAUGGUAGAAAAGCUGAAAAAAGAAUAUUUGAAAAAUCGUCUAAUAAACUACAGUAUUUGGGCUAUGUGGCUAGAAUAAUACUUGAUAUUCGUCAAAUGAUUGUGGUUAGUGAAGAUUGGCUUGAUAAACAGAUAACAAAAAUAUUAAGUAAGCCCGCUCCGAAGCUCCGAAGAGUUUUAACUCCUUCAGAAUUGGCCAAAUAUAACAUUAAUUUAAUAAAAUUACAGAAUGAAUUAAAGAAACUAUAGAAAAUA
rnacentral:misc_RNA from 1 species